CGGGGAGUGGCUCAGCCUGGUAGAGCACAGCGUUCGGGACGCUGGGGUCGGAGGUUCAAAUCCUCUCUCCCCGACCA
rnacentral:tRNA from 1 species